AGGGAUGUAGCGCAGCUUGGUAGCGCCUUUGUUUUGGGUAAAAAAUGUCACCAAAUCCUGUCAUCCCUA
rnacentral:tRNA from 1 species